rnacentral:lncRNA from 1 species
AUGGACACUCAGUGCUCUAGAGUGUUGUUGUCCAGAGAGACCAAGGGAAUGGACACUCAGUGCUCUAGAGUGUUGUUGUCCAGAGAGACCAAGGGAAUGGACACUCAGUGCUCUAGAGUGUUGUUGUCCAGAGAGACCAAGGUAAUGGACACUCAGUGCUCUAGAGUGUUGUUGUCCAGAGAGACCAAGGGAAUGGACACUCAGUGCUCUAGAGUGUUGUUGUCCAGAGAGACCAAGGGAAUGGACACUCAGUGCUCUAGAGUGUUGUUGUCCAGAGAGACCAAGGUAAUGGACACUCAGUGCUCUAGAGUGUUGUUGUCCAGAGAGACCAAGGUAAUGGACACUCAGUGCUCUAGAGUGUUGUUGUCCAGAGAGACCAAGGUAAUGGACACUCAGUGCUCUAGAGUGUUGUUGUCCAGAGAGACCAAGGUAAUGGACACUCAGUGCUCUAGAGUGUUGUUGUCCAGAGAGACCAAGGGAAUGGACACUCAGUGCUCUAGAGUGUUGUUGUCCAGAGAGACCAAGGUAAUGGACACUCAGUGCUCUAGAGUGUUGUUGUCCAGAGAGACCAAGGGAAUGGACACUCAGUGCUCUAGAGUGUUGUUGUCCAGAGAGACCAAGGUAAUGGACACUCAGUGCUCUAGAGUGUUGUUGUCCAGAGAGACCAAGGUAAUGGACACUCAGUGCUCUAGAGUGUUGUUGUCCAGAGAGACCAAGGUAAUGGACACUCAGUGCUCUAGAGUGUUGUUGUCCAGAGAGACCAAGGGAAUGGACACUCAGUGCUCUAGAGUGUUGUUGUCCAGAGAGACCAAGAAGCAGAGAUCAACGAGGCGGAGAACUACGAAGAUGAGGUGGGGGUUGGACGGGACAAGCGGACCAAUCAAGAGCGUGCAUGAGAGCAUGAGUCUGUGUUCAGAUCCACAGUCUCCGCCUGUUGAGGUUUCAGGGGGAAGUGAUGUCAACACCAUUAUUAAAAAAGAAUUCUGCCGCUACUGGAUAUGA